CUUUCACUCCAUUAUUUGUGAUCAUGUUCAGUUUUUAAUUUCCAAACAUUAGAAGCUAGAUUAAAAUAACCAUCUCUCUGUGAAUUCGACCAUACUUACACUACUACAUUCUUAGGAGGUUAUGUUAGGAAUUAUUUUUGACAGGUGUACGACAGUCAAUCACAUACUCAGGGGGCUCGACCAUUGCCCAAGCCGCCUCGGUGCUUUGUCGGUGGCUGUUGAGCUCCCCACCCAGUCUUAGUUCUCGUUUUCUUCUUUUCUCUUUAGUUUUUCUUUCCCCUUCACCAUCUUCUUCAAUCCAUAUUGAGAAUUGGGAGCAAAAUCUUGAAAUUCUCACCGUCGCACCACACCAGUGGGUUGGUGCACUGGAAGUCUGACGGCAACAGAGUAGUGGGUCGCGUGCCAAGCUGGAAGUUUUAAAGCGGCGGCUCCAACGACAAUUAUGAGACAGGUAAUGCUCUAGGAAAUCAAAUUUUACGAAAAGUACAUCAUGGGGGUUACCAAACUUAAACAGGUGUAUCUUUAGGUAGUUGUGUAAUGGUGAAGAACAAAGGUCUUUAUCUAUAUCAAGAUCCUUGUUCUUAGGUUCUGAAAGAACAUAAAUCUAUCAUUAAAUCAGUUCGAUCUUCUUCUUUAAGGAUUGCAGAUAUUGAUCAGUGUUGUUGGGUGAUGAGUUAAAGGAAUUUACAUCACCAUAUGUUCUUUCGAUGACUUCGGGAGUCAUCACAGUAAAAAAAAAAAUCUUUGUGGGAGGCCUUCAAAUUUGAUUUGGGUAAAUUUCGACCUCUACAAACAGGGGCGGCUUUUAGCAUGUUCAACAUGUUCCAUGGAACAGGGCCCCUCAAUUGUGAGGGCCUCAAAAUAGAGAAAGUUCAAGUAGUAAAACGACAAAGUUUAUCUACUUAUUUGGACUAUUUUUUUUUCAUAAUAUGAUAAUAUGAAGUAUGGAUGAGCUAUUACAUUAUUGAAUUCUUCAAAUAUGAGAUCGUACAGGGCCUCUAUAUAGUUCGAGACGGGUCUGUCUACAAAACCCCUUUUACAGGGUACAAAGUCACGAAAGAAAGUGACUUAAUUGGUAGUUUCAUCUUAAGGAUCCAAGGAAGAUUUCUCAUUUCAAAGGCCUUAGGAUUUAUUGUCUUGUGAACCUUUGGUUCUACAAGAACAAAGUAGGCAAAUCCAGCAUUAUUGAAGAUCGUUUUGGUUUAGUUUCUCAACAGUUUUUAUCACAAGUUAUUAUCUUUAUAUGCAAGAUGUAAAGAUCAUCUCUACCAACAAGAGCCCAAGGGAAGUUCCCUAUGUAAUUUCCGUAAUAUCAUUUGCAUAUAACUUCGGACCUGCAAAUUUAACAAGAUGGUUUGUAAUUUAUUUGUAGUCGAUUUAAUUUAAAUGGGUUGUAAGAGCUAGUCAAGCUCAUGUUAGUAUUCGUUUACUUCGUGUCUAUCUUUUUGGAUGUUCA